GGUUAAGUGACUAAGCGUACACGGUGGAUGCCUUGGCAGUCAGAGGCGAUGAAAGACGUAGUAACUUGCGAUAAGCCCAGAUUAGGUAGUAACAACCAUUUGAGUCUGGGAUUUCUGAAUGGGGAAACCCACUUACAUAAGUAAGUAUCAUUAACUGAAUACAUAGGUUAAUGAGGCGAACCGGGGGAACUGAAACAUCUAAGUACCCCGAGGAAAAGAAAUCAACCGAGAUUCCGAAAGUAGCGGCGAGCGAAAUUGGACUAGCCCUUAAGCUUUACACGCGUUAGACGAACGGUCUGGAAAGUCCGACGAUACAGGGUGAUAGUCCCGUAGUUGACGACGUGUGUUCAGUGAAAUCGAGUAGGGCGGGACACGUGAUAUCCUGUCUGAAUAUGGGGGACCAUCCUCCAAGGCUAAAUACUACUGACUGACCGAUAGUGAACCAGUACCGUGAGGGAAAGGCGAAAAGAACCCCUGUGAGGGGAGUGAAAUAGAACCUGAAACCGUGUACGUACAAGCAGUAGGAGCAGGCUUUGUCCUGUGACUGCGUACCUUUUGUAUAAUGGGUCAGCGACUUAUAUUCAGUGGCAAGGUUAACCAUCUAGGGGAGCCGUAGGGAAACCGAGUCUUAACUGGGCGUUCAGUCUCUGGAUAUAGACCCGAAACCAGGUGAUCUAGCCAUGGGCAGGUUGAAGGUUGAGUAACAUCAACUGGAGGACCGAACCGACUAAUGUUGAAAAAUUAGCGGAUGACUUGUGGCUAGGGGUGAAAGGCCAAUCAAACCUGGAGAUAGCUGGUUCUCCCCGAAAGCUAUUUAGGUAGCGCCUCGGACGAAUACUACUGGGGGUAGAGCACUGUUAAGGCUAGGGGGUCAUCCCGACUUACCAACCCUUUGCAAACUCCGAAUACCAGUAAGUACUAUCCGGGAGACACACGGCGGGUGCUAACGUCCGUCGUGGAGAGGGAAACAACCCAGACCGCCAGCUAAGGUCCCAAAUUACUACUAAGUGGGAAACGAUGUGGGAAGGCUCAGACAGCCAGGAUGUUGGCUUAGAAGCAGCCAUCAUUUAAAGAAAGCGUAAUAGCUCACUGGUCGAGUCGGCCUGCGCGGAAGAUGUAACGGGGCUAAGUAGUAAACCGAAGCUGCGGCAAUGUGCUUUUGCACAUUGGGUAGGGGAGCGUUCUGUAAGCGGUUGAAGGUGUGUGGUAACGCAUGCUGGACGUAUCAGAAGUGCGAAUGCUGACAUGAGUAACGAUAAAGGGGUGAAAAACCUCCUCGCCGGAAGACCAAGGGUUCCUGUCCAACGUUAAUCGGGGCAGGGUAAGUCGACCCCUAAGGCGAGGCCGAAAGGCGUAGUCGAUGGGAAACGGGUUAAUAUUCCCGUACUUCUUACAAUUGCGAUGGGGGGACGGAGAAGGCUAGGUGGGCCUGGCGACGGUUGUCCAGGUUCAAGUGCGUAGGCUUAAGAGUUAGGUAAAUCCGGCUCUUUCUAAGGCUGAGACACGACGUCGAGCACCUACGGGUGUGAAGUCAUUGAUGCCAUGCUUCCAGGAAAAGCCUCUAAGCUUCAGAUUGUAAGGAAUCGUACCCCAAACCGACACAGGUGGUCGGGUAGAGAAUACCAAGGCGCUUGAGAGAACUCGGGUGAAGGAACUAGGCAAAAUGGUACCGUAACUUCGGGAGAAGGUACGCUCUUGAUGGUGAAGUCCCUUGCGGAUGGAGCUGACGAGAGUCGCAGAUACCAGGUGGCUGCAACUGUUUAUUAAAAACACAGCACUGUGCAAAAUCGUAAGAUGACGUAUACGGUGUGACGCCUGCCCGGUGCCGGAAGGUUAAUUGAUGGGGUUAGACUUCGGUCGAAGCUCUUGAUCGAAGCCCCGGUAAACGGCGGCCGUAACUAUAACGGUCCUAAGGUAGCGAAAUUCCUUGUCGGGUAAGUUCCGACCUGCACGAAUGGCGUAAUGAUGGCCACGCUGUCUCCACCCGAGACUCAGUGAAAUUGAAAUCGCUGUGAAGAUGCAGUGUACCCGCGGCUAGACGGAAAGACCCCGUGAACCUUUACUACAGCUUGGCACUGAACAUUGACCCUACAUGUGUAGGAUAGGUGGGAGGCUUUGAAGCACGUACGCCAGUAUGUGUGGAGCCGUCCUUGAAAUACCACCCUUGUAGUGUUGAUGUUCUAACGUCGACCCCUAAUCGGGGUUGCGGACAGUGCCUGGUGGGUAGUUUGACUGGGGCGGUCUCCUCCCAAAGAGUAACGGAGGAGCACGAAGGUGGGCUAAUCACGGUUGGACAUCGUGAGGUUAGUGCAAUGGCAUAAGCCCGCUUGACUGCGAGAAUGACAAUUCGAGCAGGUGCGAAAGCAGGUCAUAGUGAUCCGGUGGUUCUGAAUGGAAGGGCCAUCGCUCAACGGAUAAAAGGUACUCCGGGGAUAACAGGCUGAUACCGCCCAAGAGUUCAUAUCGACGGCGGUGUUUGGCACCUCGAUGUCGGCUCAUCACAUCCUGGGGCUGAAGUCGGUCCCAAGGGUAUGGCUGUUCGCCAUUUAAAGUGGUACGCGAGCUGGGUUUAGAACGUCGUGAGACAGUUCGGUCCCUAUCUGCCGUGGGCGUUGGAAGAUUGAAGGGGCUGCUCCUAGUACGAGAGGACCGGAGUGGACGAACCUCUGGUGUUCGGGUUGUGUCGCCAGACGCAUUGCCCGGUAGCUAAGUUCGGAAUCGAUAACCGCUGAAAGCAUCUAAGCGGGAAGCGAGCCCUGAGAUGAGUCUUCCCUGAUACUUUAAGUAUCCUAAAGGGUUGUCGGAGACUACGACGUUGAUAGGUCAGGUGUGUAAGUGCUGUGAGGCAUUGAGCUAACUGAUACUAAUUGCCCGUGAGGCUUAACCAU
rnacentral:rRNA from 1 species